rnacentral:rRNA from 1 species
AACGAACGCUGGCGGCAGGCUUAACACAUGCAAGUCGAACGCCCCGCAAGGGUAGUGGCAGACGGGUGAGUAACGCGUGGGAAUCUACCUUUUGCUACGGGAUAGCUCCGGGAAACUGGAAUUAAUACCGUAUGUGCCCUUCGGGGGAAAGAUUUAUCGGCAAAGGAUGAGCCCGCGUUGGAUUAGCUAGUUGGUGGGGUAAAGGCCUACCAAGGCGACGAUCCAUAGCUGGUCUGAGAGGAUGAUCAGCCACAUUGGGACUGAGACACGGCCCAAACUCCUACGGGGGGCAGCAGUGGGGAAUAUUGGACAAUGGGCGCAAGCCUGAUCCAGCCAUGCCGCGUGAGUGAUGAAGGUCUUAGGAUUGUAAAGCUCUUUCACCGGGGACGAUAAUGACGGUACCCGGAGAAGAAGCCCCGGCUAACUUCGUGCCAGCCGCCGCGGUAA